rnacentral:rRNA from 1 species
UACGAAGGGGGCUAGCGUUGCUCGGAAUUACUGGGCGUAAAGGGCGCGUAGGCGGCGUUUCAAGUCAGGCGUGAAAUUCCUGGGCUCAACCUGGGGACUGCGCUUGAUACUGAAGUGCUUGAGGAUGGAAGAGGCUCGUGGAAUUCCCAGUGUAGAGGUGAAAUUCGUAGAUAUUGGGAAGAACACCGGUGGCGAAGGCGGCGAGCUGGUCCAUUACUGACGCUGAGGCGCGACAGCGUGGGGAGCAAACAGG